rnacentral:rRNA from 1 species
GGGUUGUGAGGUUAAGCGACUAAGCGUACACGGUGGAUGCCCUGGCAGUCAGAGGCGAUGAAGGGCGUGCUAAUCUGCGAUAAGCGCCGGUAAGGUGAUAUGAACCGUUAUAACCGGCGAUACCCGAAUGGGGAAACCCAGUGUGAUUCGUCACACUAUCAUUAACUGAAUCCAUAGGUUAAUGAGGCGAACCGGGGGAACUGAAACAUCUAAGUACCCCGAGGAAAAGAAAUCAACCGAGAUUCCCCCAGUAGCGGCGAGCGAACGGGGAGGAGCCCAGAGCCUGAAUCAGCAUGUGUGUUAGUGGAAGCGUCUGGAAAGGCGCGCGAUACAGGGUGACAGCCCCGUACACAAAAGCGCAUGUGCUGUGAGCUCGAUGAGUAGGGCGGGACACGUGGUAUCCUGUCUGAAUAUGGGGGGACCAUCCUCCAAGGCUAAAUACUCCUGACUGACCGAUAGUGAACCAGUACCGUGAGGGAAAGGCGAAAAGAACCCCGGCGAGGGGAGUGAAAAAGAACCUGAAACCGUGUACGUACAAGCAGUGGGAGCACAGGUUUACCUGUGUGACUGCGUACCUUUUGUAUAAUGGGUCAGCGACUUAUAUUCUGUAGCAAGGUUAACCGUAUAGGGGAGCCGUAGGGAAACCGAGUCUUAAUUGGGCGUUAAGUUGCAGGGUAUAGACCCGAAACCCGGUGAUCUAGCCAUGGGCAGGUUGAAGGUUGGGUAACACUAACUGGAGGACCGAACCGACUAAUGUUGAAAAAUUAGCGGAUGACCUGUGGCUGGGGGUGAAAGGCCAAUCAAACCGGGAGAUAGCUGGUUCUCCCCGAAAGCUAUUUAGGUAGCGCCUCGUGAAUUCAUCUCCGGGGGUAGAGCACUGUUUCGGCUAGGGGGCCAUCCCGGCUUACCAACCCGAUGCAAACUGCGAAUACCGGAGAAUGUUAUCACGGGAGACACACGGCGGGUGCUAACGUCCGUCGUGAAGAGGGAAACAACCCAGACCGCCAGCUAAGGUCCCAAAGUCAUGGUUAAGUGGGAAACGAUGUGGGAAGGCCCAGACAGCCAGGAUGUUGGCUUAGAAGCAGCCAUCAUUUAAAGAAAGCGUAAUAGCUCACUGGUCGAGUCGGCCUGCGCGGAAGAUGUAACGGGGCUAAACCAUGCACCGAAGCUGCGGCAGCGACGCUUAUGCGUUGUUGGGUAGGGGAGCGUUCUGUAAGCCUGUGAAGGUGGCCUGUGAGGGUUGCUGGAGGUAUCAGAAGUGCGAAUGCUGACAUAAGUAACGAUAAAGCGGGUGAAAAGCCCGCUCGCCGGAAGACCAAGGGUUCCUGUCCAACGUUAAUCGGGGCAGGGUGAGUCGACCCCUAAGGCGAGGCCGAAAGGCGUAGUCGAUGGGAAACAGGUUAAUAUUCCUGUACUUGGUGUUACUGCGAAGGGGGGACGGAGAAGGCUAUGUUGGCCGGGCGACGGUUGUCCCGGUUUAAGCGUGUAGGUGUGUGUUCCAGGUAAAUCCGGUUCACUUUAACACUGAGGCGUGAUGACGAGGCACUACGGUGCUGAAGCAACAAAUGCCCUGCUUCCAGGAAAAGCCUCUAAGCAUCAGGUAACAUCAAAUCGUACCCCAAACCGACACAGGUGGUCAGGUAGAGAAUACCAAGGCGCUUGAGAGAACUCGGGUGAAGGAACUAGGCAAAAUGGUGCCGUAACUUCGGGAGAAGGCACGCUGACACGUAGGUGAAGUGAUUUACUCAUGGAGCUGAAGUCAGUCGAAGAUACCAGCUGGCUGCAACUGUUUAUUAAAAACACAGCACUGUGCAAACACGAAAGUGGACGUAUACGGUGUGACGCCUGCCCGGUGCCGGAAGGUUAAUUGAUGGGGUCAGCGCAAGCGAAGCUCCUGAUCGAAGCCCCGGUAAACGGCGGCCGUAACUAUAACGGUCCUAAGGUAGCGAAAUUCCUUGUCGGGUAAGUUCCGACCUGCACGAAUGGCGUAAUGAUGGCCAGGCUGUCUCCACCCGAGACUCAGUGAAAUUGAACUCGCUGUGAAGAUGCAGUGUACCCGCGGCAAGACGGAAAGACCCCGUGAACCUUUACUAUAGCUUGACACUGAACAUUGAGCCUUGAUGUGUAGGAUAGGUGGGAGGCUUUGAAG